UACAGAGGCCCCAAGCGUUACUGAGAAUCACUGGGUUUAAAGGGUGCGUAGGUGGCGCGUUAAGUCCGUUGUGAAAUCCCUGGGCUCAACCCAGGAAUUGCUUCGGAUACUGGCGUGCUUGAGGCCGGUAGGGGUCACUGGAACUGACGGUGGAGCGGUGAAAUGCGUAGAUAUCGGGAGGAACACCAGUGGCGAAGGCGGCGACCUGGACGGACAUUGACGCUGAGACGCGAAAGCGUGGGGAGCAAACAGG
rnacentral:rRNA from 1 species